GUUCUAAGAAUUCCUGUUCCAAUUUCUGCAACUGUUAAGUUACACAACGCACCAUUGUGAAGAUAAUGAACGGAAAAAUAAGUAGCACACACUAAAAGUUUAUUUCAUUUCUCGAGACUUCCUCCUGGUGGCGACACAUCGAACUACAUAAUCCAGUUGACUUUUAUUACCGACUGAUACUGUCAACUUUGUCAAGUAUGGUCACCAUUCUCAAUCAGAACACAAAGAUUAUCUUACUGUUGUACAAACUAGUAUUUUCUUUUGUUUUCUGAUAAUUUUACCACAUGUUAAUACAUCCUUAAAAUAACUUUCAUUUGCAUUCGGUGAAGAUGACGAGUUGCCGAUAUAUGUUGUUAUAUCUUUAUUGUUAAACCAUAUUAAAAGACGUUUGAGUAGAAUGAAAUGUUGAUGGAAAUUAAAUCAUUUAUUAAUUAAUCACCCUGCAUAAUGCAUUAACCAAUUAAUCACUAUGCACAAUGCAUUAACCAAGUAGUACACGUUAUUAAUCUCAUUUUAAAAACGAACCAUUCACAUGUUUACAAGCCAAUACCAGCUGGUUAACCAACUGCAGGCGACAGUAAUUCUUAGUGCUUACUGCGUACACAAUUUUCGUUAUUACGUCCAGCAACUUUGAGGACCACUUAGUAUUUAUCCGUCUACAUAACGUGAAAAGAUGGAGUUUGAGAGGUUAGCCAGCAAGAAAAAGAGAUCCAGGAAAUAAGGGAGUUCAAGUUCAAGUAUCUUAAAGCAAAACUGGGAGAAAACCCCACAGUUGCACAAGAAGAACAGAUAGAAGUGUCGGGCAGCAAGAUGGAAGAAAGAAAACGGAGGUCAUGGAGGCCUGUCAAACCAAGCACUGGGGAACUUAAUUUCGACUAUUCGGCGCCUACUACUGUCAACAGAGGGAGUUGGAAUGGUUGGAUCCAGAAAUGAAAGGAGAUUGUGUAGUACGAGGCUCUAUGAUGUGGAAGAGGGAGCACCACAAUUGUACUAAAAAAGCAAUAAAGGUUGGACAACAAAACGAAAGGAAAGAAGCAGAAAUGGAGGUAAAUUAAGAAAAAAAAAGUGAGUGCAGCUACGGACUGAGGGUGUCGCUGUAUAA